rnacentral:rRNA from 1 species
UCCGUAGGUGAACCUGCGGAGGGAUCAUUACACAACGAAAAUAUGAAGGCUUUGGCUUCGCGGCCGGCUGAAAUAUUUUUUUCACCCAUGUCUUUUGCGCACUUGUUGUUUCCUGGGCGGGUUCGCCCGCCACCAGGACCAAACCAUAAACCUUUUUUUUUAAUGCAGUUGCAAUCAGCGUCAGUAAAAAACAAUGUAAUCAUUACAACUUUCAACAACGGAUCUCUUGGUUCUGGCAUCGAUGAAGAACGCAGCGAAAUGCGAUACGUAGUGUGAAUUGCAGAAUUCAGUGAAUCAUCGAAUCUUUGAACGCACAUUGCGCCCUUUGGUAUUCCAAAGGGCAUGCCUGUUCGAGCGUCAUUUGUACCUUCAAGCUUUGCUUGGUGUUGGGCGUUUUUUGUCUCCCUCUUGCUGGGAGACUCGCCUUAAAACGAUUGGCAGCCGGCCUACUGGUUUCGGAGCGCAGCACAUAUUUUGCACUCUGUGUCAGGAGAAAAGGACGGUAAUCCAUCAAGACUCUACAAAUUUUAACUUUUGACCUCGGAUCAGGUAGGGAUACCCGCUGAACUUAAGCAUAUCAAUAAGCGGAGGA